AGAUUAAGUUAUUAAGGGCGCACGGUGGAUGCCUUGGCACUAGAAGCCGAUGAAGGACGUUACUAACGACGAUAUGCUUUGGGGAGCUGUAAGUAAGCUUUGAUCCAGAGAUUUCCGAAUGGGGAAACCCAGCACGAGUUAUGUCGUGUUAUCUGCAUGUGAAUACAUAGCAUGCAAGAAGGCAGACCCGGAGAACUGAAACAUCUUAGUACCCGGAGGAAGA
rnacentral:rRNA from 1 species